CCCAAAAGUGUUGGAGCUAAAUCCAGAUGAGACUGUUACAGAUCGAGAGAAGACAGAUGAGAUGGGUAUGAGUGAGACCAGUCUACAAGAUGUGAUUCAGAUGGAGUUUUCUGCACAGGUCAGUGAGCUAAAGACCCCACAGAAAUCAACAAAUGAGCCAGAAUCAUCCAUGCCCGAAUCAUACAGAACCAAAGCAGAGUUGGCUGUCAGUGCUCAGUUAACAGCGUUGUCAAGUAAUCCUAAAUUGCGCAGAGAUUUCUUCACCCUAUCAG